rnacentral:rRNA from 1 species
GACGUAGGGCGCGAGCGUUGUCCGGAUUUAUUGGGCGUAAAGAGCUCGUAGGCGGCUUGUCGCGUCGUCCGUGAAAACCCACAGCUCAACUGUGGGCUUGCGGUCGAUACGGGCAGGCUAGAGUUCGGUAGGGGAGACUGGAAUUCCUGGUGUAGCGGUGAAAUGCGCAGAUAUCAGGAGGAACACCGGGGGCGAAGGCGGGUCUCUGGGCCGAUACUGACGCUGAGGAGCGAAAGCGUGGGGAGCGAACAGG